UGAAGAAUAUUGGGCAAUGGGGGAAACCCUGACCCAGCAACGCCGCGUGAGGGAAGAAGGUUCUCGGAUUGUAAACCUCUGUCCCAUGGGAAGAAACAAAUGACGGUACCAUGGGAGGAAGCCCCGGCUAACUACGUGCCAGCAGCCGCGGUAAUACGGAGGGGGCAAGCGUUGUCCGGAAUUAUUGGGCGUAAAGGGUGCGUAGGCGGUCUUUCAAGUUGGAUGUGAAAUCCCCAUGCUUAACAUGGGAAUUGCAGGCGAAACUGGUGGGCUUGAGUGUGGAAGGGGUAAGUGGAAUUCCCAGUGGAGCGGUGAAAUGCGUAGAUAUUGGGAGGAACACCAGUGGCGAAGGCGACUUACUGGGCCACAACUGACGCUGAGGGACGAAAGCGUGGGGAGCAAACA
rnacentral:rRNA from 1 species